GAUGGGAGCUUGCUCCCUGAUGUUAGCGGCGGACGGGUGAGUAACACGUGGGUAACCUGCCUGUAAGACUGGGAUAACUCCGGGAAACCGGGGCUAAUACCGGAUGGUUGUCUGAACCGCAUGGUUCAGACAUAAAAGGUGGCUUCGGCUACCACUUACAGAUGGACCCGCGGCGCAUUAGCUAGUUGGUGAGGUAACGGCUCACCAAGGCGACGAUGCGUAGCCGACCUGAGAGGGUGAUCGGCCACACUGGGACUGAGACACGGCCCAGACUCCUACGGGAGGCAGCAGUAGGGAAUCUUCCGCAAUGGACGAAAGUCUGACGGAGCAACGCCGCGUGAGUGAUGAAGGUUUUCGGAUCGUAAAGCUCUGUUGUUAGGGAAGAACAAGUGCCGUUCAAAUAGGGCGGCACCUUGACGGUACCUAACCAGAAAGCCACGGCUAACUACGUGCCAGCAGCCGCGGUAAUACGUAGGUGGCAAGCGUUGUCCGGAAUUAUUGGGCGUAAAGGGCUCGCAGGCGGUUUCUUAAGUCUGAUGUGAAAGCCCCCGGCUCAACCGGGGAGGGUCAUUGGAAACUGGGGAACUUGAGUGCAGAAGAGGAGAGUGGAAUUCCACGUGUAGCGGUGAAAUGCGUAGAGAUGUGGAGGAACACCAGUGGCGAAGGCGACUCUCUGGUCUGUAACUGACGCUGAGGAGCG
rnacentral:rRNA from 2 species